GAAAAUUAUGAGAUUGGUAAUAAAAUAAAAGAUGAUUAAAAGAAAAGGAAACAAAAGAGACCGUAUUAUAUAAUUCCAUAAUUUAAUAAGGGGUCGUAUGCGCAUUUGAAGUCUAAACAAUUUAAGCAAUUUUCUAUUAGAUAAAUAAAUAAAUAAAUAUAAUAAUAAAAAUAAUAAUAAACAAAUAAAAAGUAAAAAUGAAAAUGAAUAAACAGAAUAAAUGUAAUUAUCGAAUUCAUGCAAUAAUAAUAAAAAGAUUAUAUAAAAAGUUAAGCCUAAUGGAGUGUCUAAAUGGACCUAUUCUGAAAAGGUGUCUAAGUGACCUAAGUGACAUAAGGUGAAUGUAUGAAAGUUAGAAGGUGUCUAGGUGGAUCUAAAGGGGUCAAGGUGAAUCUAGGG
rnacentral:lncRNA from 1 species